rnacentral:tRNA from 1 species
AUAGGGAGACCGAAUCCGCUCGAAUCUGAAAGCAAAUAGCAAAUAAGAAGAGAGUAGGUCAACCCAAGGUCGUGCAAGGGAAAAAAGGUCAAAACUUUCAAACUAUCUCGUCGGUUCGGAAUAAGAGAGGAAACUCAGCUUAUAGAAAACAGACAAGGGCUAUUAGCUCAGUUGGUUAGAGCGCACGGCUGAUAACCGUGAGGUCUCUGGUUCAAGUCCAGAAUGGCCCACCUGACCAAAAGUAGAAAGUAGUCAAGUCCAAAAACCGAAAAAGAAUUCAGCAUCCGAAACUUAAAGGCGAAAGUCAGAUAAAAGAGGAAUGCUGGAUUAAGUUCCAGUCAGAACCUUGAAAACUGCAUAGAAAAAGAAAGAAAAGUCAGGUGUAAAAACCGAUUAAAA